rnacentral:rRNA from 1 species
UACGUAGGGCGCGAGCGUUAUCCGGAAUUAUUGGGCGUAAAGAGCUCGUAGGCGGUUUGUCGCGUCUGCCGUGAAAAUCCGGGGCUCAACUCCGGACUUGCGGUGGGUACGGGCAGGCUAGAGUGGUGUAGGGGAGACUGGAAUUCCUGGUGUAGCGGUGGAAUGCGCUGAUAUCAGGAGGAACACCGAUGGCGAAGGCAGGUCUCUGGGCAUUUUACUGACGCUGAGGAGCGAAAGCGUGGGGAGCGAACAGG